AGCGCACGAAUAAUGUCUAUGAAGGGGGUGAAUUGGCUCUGGUUUGCCAGCAAACAGAAAUGCCCCGUUCUGAUCUAGGAAAUUUCUAAAAAAAAACCACUACAUUAUUCGACAGCCAUCGCUACAAGUAGGUGAAACAUAGACCAACAUUCGCCUUUGGUAGAAAGAAGUUACACUGAAUUGGUAAUCCAAUCGAUGCAGUCUUGUGAACCAUGAUGAUGAAGAGGAAAGAGAUGAUAGUCAAGAUGCAGAUCUCUCAGACUUGACACAAAAUCUAUCCAUGAUCUACAGCAAGCGACACCUACACACUUAUUAUGGCCCCAAAUGUAUUGUGUAUGUACUGAUGCUGCCAGGAAUCAAGUUCAGAAGACUACCAAUCGUCCAGGAAACCAAGUUCCCGAGUAAAUAUUUGUGGUGUAAUAAAGAAAAAAGUCCGGAAAUUGUUUUAAAUAUAAGUUGAUCCUUUUCAAAGCAGUCAACUUACCAAUAAAAGAGUGUUGAUGUAUCACUACUAGUGCUAAAAAAACACGAAGGUGAAAUUAUCAAGGGUUGCUGUUUUUUGCCAGAUUAUUUUUUAUCGUUUCUGACUCGGGAUUGUAGAAAUUAAUUGCUGAACGUUGGGCAAGAUAGCAGUAGUAGAAAAGUUGAAGUUCCAUGAGAUAUUUCCUUAUCACCUCUAACUGUGUCAACGUUAUACACUGGCCAGCCCUUAGUCCGGACUUAAACCCGAUUGAACAUCUUUGGGAUGAAAUUCAGAGGAGACUUAAUAACGUCAUACAGAGACCAAAUACAGCCGAUGGAUUGCGCCAGGCUUUUCUGAGAGUGUGGUUCCAGGUGCCAAUGGAGUUUAUCAAUCAUCUAGUCCACUCCAUGUACAGAUGCUGUGCUGCUGUUAUUGACACUCAGGGUGGACACACCAGAUACUGAUGUAUAGACUGUGUACAGACUCUAAACCUUCUCGUUAUGUCUUGGAAUUGUGAUGAGUUAAUCACUAAUGUGUCAACAUACUGUUCACAUACUCUCUGAUUUUGAAAUCAUAUUGACAUUUUGUUUGCUGUUUAGUAUAUAUCUCGGCAAUUGCAUGUGAUCUGAUGUAAAGACCCCAAAUGUAACUCUUAUAUUCAAUUUUUUUAAAUUUCUGAUACCUCUUUAAACGUCUAAAUAUUGUCUAUGAAGUUGUUUUUUCCAUUUGUAAAAUAUAAAUUUGCUGAGUGAAAUGCUCUAAUUGAUGCCAUCGCCUCACAAUUUACAAUUUCGUUCCACCUCUAUAGAUGUAAGAAUGUUUUUGCUCAAAUUGCUUCUACAAAGAUGUAGACUUCCAAUAUAUUGACCUUUAAAAAAUGAGGUCUUCAUGAUAUUGAUUGAAGUUUGGGACCAUUGACCAAAUUUGACAGUAGAAAAAAAAGAUUUAUUGAUGUUAUUCUUUAAAAUAAGAGUAAAACCAUGUGAAUAUUCUACUGAUUGUCUGUAAGAUUAAAAUCUUUUCUACACGGAAAGCAAGUUGGUGAAGCAGAAGAUUAUUUGACAAGUUGGUGUCUUUGUUUGACAAACUGACGCUGAUAUUGAUAGCAGUGGUAUAACUAACUAGUUGAUUGGUUUGGGGGGAAUAAGUCAGCUACAACAGUUAGUUUGAUUUACCAACCCGCCGCCUCCUCACCUCAAUCCUGCCAAUGUAAAGUCUACGACUCUAUCAAAUCUGCUAAGUAAGCAGAAUGGAAGCAAAUUGACUGACUAGACUUAGAAAUGUUCUAAUCAACAAUGAUGGCCACAUAUUGUAGUAGGACUAUAAUCCACCCAACAAAAAUUAGUCUUUACUGGACAGAGACUAUAUAAAGUUGGCUUAUAUUUCCCACUGAGAAUAAAGCAAUUGAUGUCGAAUAAAUAAGUUAAUCCCUUGGUCAUCUAAGGUGAAGACUGGACAACCUAGUUGUGUGUCUGGACAAAACUCUUGAGUGGUGUGUGGUCACUAUUUGAUUGUACAGUUGAACAUAUUGAAUUACUUGUUAAUGAAUAGUUGAAUAUUGUCUAGCCUCAAAAUUGUUCUUCUUUGUUCAACAAAAUACUCCUAAUAAAUAUUUCACUUCCUAGCAUUACCAAUUGAAGACAGGUAGGAAAUUUCGUAUCUUUUGAACAGGUUACAGUCAGAUAUGUUAUACAUGAUUUUAUUCAAUUUGAUAUAUAUGCAACAUUUUACAUUUUCUUUAAAUUUUAUAGAACUUUUUGUCUCCGUUAAGAUCUACAAGAACCCUUUUAUGCACAGACAAUGACAUACCUCUUAAAAAUUGUUGGGGUUAGAUAGACUCUUAGACACAAUGGGGGGUUUGGUUGGAUGGCCGAAUGGUUAGCAUGUGCACGCUGUAUCAUAAGAUCUGCCAUUGAGUCAACUGGCGUGGUUUUGAUUCCCUGGUUGUUCUUUGGGUCCUCCGGUUUCCCCCUACGAUCAAGCGAAUUGUUAAAAUAAAAUUGAACCAUGUGUUAGUCCCGAAAUGACCUAGUUUGUGUCCAGUGGACUUAAACCCCAUCUCUCUCUCUCUCUUAGACACAGAUCACUCUUUCAUAUUGAGAUUAGAACAGAUCACUGUCGUAUUGAGAUUACAACAGAUCACUCUCCCAUAUUGAGAUAAGAUACAGAUCACUCUCUCAUAUUAAGAUAAGACACAGAUCACUCUGUUCAACUGAGAUCAGAACAGAUCACUCUCUUUUGUUGAGAUUAAACAGAACUCUUUCCGUUGCUAAAUUAUAAAUCUUUCUCAUGCUAAAUUAGAACUGUUUCUCAUGGAAAAUGGAAUUAGUUCUUAUCAUAAGAUACCCUUUUCUCAUCUCAAAAUAGAGCUAUUUCUAUAUUCAUGAUUGAUUCCAGGUUGUUUGAACAUGUAUAGAAGUUUUCAGUAAUUCCAUUUCUGGUUGAAAUUCAAUUUGAUUGUGCCUGUAAAAUUUAUUGAUGGUUCUGAUAGUGAUGGUAAAGCUCAUUUAUGUGAAUUAUUGGCCAGACAGUCUGUAGACGAUUGUUUUUUUCAUCCGUCCUAUUAAAAUCGAACCAUGUGUUAGUCCCGAAAUGACCUAGUUUGUGUCCAGUGGACUUAAACCCCAUCUCUCUCUCUCUCUUAGACACAGAUCACUCUUUCAUAUUGAGAUUAGAACAGAUCACUGUCGUAUUGAGAUUACAACAGAUCACUCUCCCAUAUUGAGAUAAGAUACAGAUCACUCUCUCAUAUUAAGAUAAGACACAGAUCACUCUGUUCAACUGAGAUCAGAACAGAUCACUCUCUUUUGUUGAGAUUAAACAGAACUCUUUCCGUUGCUAAAUUAUAAAUCUUUCUCAUGCUAAAUUAGAACUGUUUCUCAUGGAAAAUGGAAUUAGUUCUUAUCAUAAGAUACCCUUUUCUCAUCUCAAAAUAGAGCUAUUUCUAUAUUCAUGAUUGAUUCCAGGUUGUUUGAACAUGUAUAGAAGUUUUCAGUAAUUCCAUUUCUGGUUGAAAUUCAAUUUGAUUGUGCCUGUAAAAUUUAUUGAUGGUUCUGAUAGUGAUGGUAAAGCUCAUUUAUGUGAAUUAUUGGCCAGACAGUCUGUAGACGAUUGUUUUUUUCAUCCGUCCUACCCGCUGGACCAUUUAAAGGUGAUUUGUAAGAUGAAGCUACAGGUGUCAUUGAUUAGACGAAACAAACUAACAACUUCUUUUUUUUUCUCUAUAUAUCUCAGCAUUUCUCACCACCUCCCGGUCUCCGUCGCUACUAAUAGACCACUUUUAAUCUAUCUAUUCUUAGCCAGCGUAUAGACACUGAACGAUUGAUAAAUAGACCUACUGAUCGAAAAGAAAUUCAAUGUAAUUAAUGGAAAUUGGUACUUCAUCACUUUUUCCUUUAGUCAAGAAAAACAUUACAGUAUUGACAAUGCAAUUUCAUCAAUCAAACUCAUUUUGGUAGAAAUGGAAAGUAUUGAGAAAAAUCAAAUGAUUAAUUUCCUAGCUUUGUAAACAAUGAUCGUCUAAGGUCACUGAGCAAAUAGCUGUAUGUGCCAUUCGUCCGAUAUAAGCCAGUCUGUCGGAACAACAGAACAUUUAACGAAGCCUUUCCUUCUUUUCUAGUGUGACCAAGCAAUAAUUGCGACCACAACUGUAUUAACUGCAUAUAGCCUAGUGUCGACUGAUUGCGUCUGAAAGACUAGGAUAGGAUCAAGUUCAAAUCAAAUGUGGCAGAUUUUCCUGGCCGAUCUCUUGUCUAAGUGGACGGGUAAUGAGGAAAUUAAUUCCAUUAUACCAAGUACUCUGUGUCAAGCUUGCGUAACGAUAAUGAUGCUCCGCUAAAUGAUAAUUUGAUGCUCACAUUUGUAUAUUGAAUUCGAGUAGAUUUCUGUCUGGACAAAACUGAAUUUCUAAUAUUAAGCCUGCAGCCAGACAGAAUGAAAUGGUAUUCAUCAGAUCUAUAUAUGUCUGAAAGUGCUGGCAGACGAUUAUUUAUUCGGUUAUGUGUUCAAUUUCAUAAUUAUCUAUCAUUAAUAUCAGUAGCUAGACUGACUAGUUUUUAUUAGUCUGUAGAUGGUAAUACAAUGAUUACAUUAAAAUAAUAAAAAUAAAUGCUAAGACAGCACAAGAUUGAGUCUAAAGGAAUUAAUUAUAAUGUGUCGUAUUUCUAAUACCUUUUAUGUUUGACACCGUCUGCCAGAUGCCGAGUUUUAGUGCAAUAAAUUUUCAUUUUCUCAUUCAGAAUUCCUAUAUCUACCAUUCAUAGAAGAGUUCUGAUGUUUUCUCUUUGUUAAUGAUGUUGAUAUGGUAAUCUUUGAUAUCAUACCAUCUUUUAAGACAGUGUAUUGGACCUGCAGGAAAUCAGAAUAGGCCAAUGUCGUCAUUUCUGUCCAGCACAAACUAUUUCAUUUUUAACCUCCAAGAGUUUUCAACCAAAUUUCACAUUAUCUACAGGAAAUGGGUGUUAGAUUUGUCCAUUAUUAUGAAGAAUUAUUGUACCCAGGCCAAGGGUUGAGCAUGGUCACUUAAACUCUUUCGCUGCGGCAGGUGACUAUAGUCGACUAGACGGGUCGCUGCGGCAGGCGACUAUAGUCAACAAAUUUGAUGGAAAGUAGUUUAGUACAGGUGUAAUUUUUUACAGCGCGUGAAAGAUGUUACUAAUAAUAGACACGGGUGUCAACACUAUAAAUGACGAAAGGUCUUUGUUAGAAUAAAAUUAAACCAUAUCUUAGUCUCGAAAUGACAUAGUUUGUGUCGAGUGGAUGUUAAACCCCAUUUCUCUCUCUCUUUGUUAGCUUGAGAAAAAAGUUUUUAUCGAUAUAUGUGAUUUUGAGCAAAAGCAUUAAAACAGAAUGGCAUCAAAUAAACAUAUUUCAACAGAUAAAUCUAUUGAAGAUUAUUCUCUUAGAUUCUAGAGCAGAAUAUAAAGAUUUUGACUCCGAUAACUAAGUGAACAAUUGACGACAAAUUCCAACGAAGAAAUGUUUUAUUUGUAGUAAUUCUACUGACCUCAGCAUAAACAGGCUUUGUUGUUUUUUUACUAAUCAUUCUAUAUAAAUAUAUAUUUUCUAUAAAUAGAAUAAAUAUGGCUGACAAAAUCAUUGUUCCUACAUCAAAAUUUGAUUUAAAACCCAAUUACAUAUUAGUAAGAUGUCAUGAAAAUUUCGUCAAAAUAUUUUCAUUGUCAGGCCCUCCGUCCUGCAUCACUGACAAGGAGGAACCACUCCGGAGAAACUGAAUGUACUUUCUCGGCCAAUACUAGGAUCGAACACCCGCCCUCCAGGCUAGUGAGCCAGCGUCUUACCCACUUAGCCUGCAUGACCCCCGUAUGAAAGAUGAAUCCAGACCCAAGUUUUAUAUAUAUACCAGGUAUUCUGUAAAGAAUAUAAUGCACUGUCGCACACCCAACUAUAGUCUUCAGACCAAAACUUUACAGAGACUUAAGAAGAUGGUAACAAUGCACCAAGAGGAAUUUAAUUAAGAAAAAGACAGUUUAACUCAUCCAUAGAAUGAUGAGCAACUCAUAGAUGAUUGUUUGCUAUUUUCCAUUAAGUGACAUUGUCUGCUAAAUUGCCCUCAUAAGACAAAAUCAAACCACAUUUUUUAGUCCUCCCCCGCCCAAUCAUCCAAAAAUCUUACUUUAUUCCAAAUACUUAACAUAAAUGUAAUAGUUUAAAUUAUAUAUUUUAAAAACAUAAUCUCAAUUUAAACUAUAAUCAUACAGUUUAGAAAAUGUCAUCAAAUUAGAACCUUUCUUCCAAUAUUGUAUGAGAAAAAAACAAACACCUUUCCCCGCUUGCUCAGUUUCAUCUGUGGAUGAAGGUCAGAAAAGUCGUAAAAUACUAUGCUAGUUCUUAUUCCUAAUUAAGUCAUGUCAUCAGCUUUUCCUGGUUUACAUUUAAUUGAAGAAACAACUUUUACUUAGUAUUCAGAGUUUUGGCUGUCUGUAUAAUUAGUCAUUAACUUAUCUUUUUCCACCCCCUGGUAUUCUUGACUCCAUGGCCUGUCGGACAACCUUGUUUGAUUGCCAUCUUAUUUAAGUACUCCUGCUAUGAUUCCAGAAUCAGCUGUAGACAUCUUUUAUUUAAUCUGAUACAGACUUUUUAUCCAAUGCUUUUUGGACAGAAUUAGAUAGAAAAUUUCCAUUUAAGUAGCAUUAUUAAUAAAUUGUGUGGCUGGUCAGUGAUGGGAAUUAAAGACAUGAUUCUUUGUUAAUACAUUUAUAUCAUUAUGGUUGAGAUAACGGUAGUAACUAAGCUCAAUUAAAAUAUUUUUAUACUGUCUGUCAGGAUUGGAUCUUUGUCAUAUGUUCUUCCUGUUAAGAUGCCUAUUGCAGUAUUCCAAUUGUAUUAAUGUUACUGGAUUAAUAGUUAUUAACAAGAAGUUUCCCUAUAAGGACACCAGCAAUAAAUCUUGUUAGCUGAUUAUUGGAUAUACCUAAGUUUAUACAGCUUUCAUAGAAGGCCAUAGAACUUGACUCCCAGACUCUAUGACAAUAAACAUUAUGCCAUUAUGGGGGAUUGCAUGUAAUCUGUCUGUCACAGUGAAUCACAUCAAAUGUCAAUGGGGUAUCAUGUUUUGUCUGCUUCUCAUCUUAAUCAUGGACAUGGCUAAUUAUUCCACAGGACAUUUCUUGCUAUG